GACUCAAAGGAGAGGGAAGAGGUCAAGGACUCCUGGAUUUCAAGCCUAACUAGUAUGGCUCUUGGGUGGUGCCACCCAGAAGAGAGAGGCUGGCAGGGAGGCCCCAAGAGACGCAAUCUCCUCUCUUCCUUUAAAGCCUGGUUUCAAGCACACCUCGUGAACAAAGGCUGUAGUGGCUCACCCCCUCCAAGAGGGUCAAAUACACAUGGAGACAAAGGAGGAACGUAGGUGUCAAAUGCUCUGUGGGGUUGAAUAAGCAUGAAGAAAGUACCACCAUCACUACUGCAGGGCAGUGGUCUACUGAGAAAACGAAUACUUCUGCAUGGAGACACCGUCUUUACCAGAACUCCAGGGCAGGUCAGCAGUAUGAUCUUCCAUAUUUCCUUCUAGAACAAAAAUAAGGAGGCCUAGCACUGGAAAUUUAUUGACCAAUAAAAUCUGCUCAC